rnacentral:rRNA from 1 species
UACCAGACUCCUACGGGAGGCAGCAGUGGGGAAUAUUGCACAAUGGGGGAAACCCUGAUGCAGCGACGCCGCGUGAGUGAAGAAGUAUUUCGGUAUGUAAAGCUCUAUCAGCAGGGAAGAAAAUGACGGUACCUGACUAAGAAGCCCCGGCUAACUACGUGCCAGCAGCCGCGGUAAUACGUAGGGGGCAAGCGUUAUCCGGAUUUACUGGGUGUAAAGGGGGCGCAGACGGCGAUGCAAGCCAGGAGUGAAAGCCCGGGGCCCAACCCCGGGACUGCUCUUGGAACUGCGUGGCUGGAGUGCAGGAGGGGCAGGCGGAAUUCCUGGUGUAGCGGUGAAAUGCGUAGAUAUUAGGAGGAACACCAGUGGCGAAGGCGGCUUACUGGACUGUAAAUGACGCUGAGGCUCGAAAGCGUGGGGAGCAAACAGGAUUAGAUACCCUAGUAAG